AAGAUGUCCUUAGCUUCUCUAACUCGUCAAUCCUACCAGUGUUGAAUUCAGCAGCCUUCUCAAGAUCCACAAUACUCUGGCCCUGCGAAGCAACCGUUCUGUUAGUGCUCACGAUUUUGGCAUCCAGUUCACCAAUCGCAGCCUUGAAAUCCUCAGCUAUAGCAACACGUAAUUCUCCCAGAGCCAGGAUUUAGGUCAUCCAUUCCCUGAAAGGGGCCUCUGAUUGUGAAGGUGGGAGGCAGUGUCGCACGGGGGAGAGGGAUCCGCUGCAUUCAGGAUCAACAUCAAGUCUCGGACCACUUGUCUCAAAGCCAGCCUCAACCUGCAAGCCACAAGACUGUUACAACAGCUCAACCCUGGGAUGACUACGGCAUCCUACCAAACACUUACCAUUUAUUUAUAUUCUGUACACACUGAAACUACCUUUGUCUACCGGACCAAUGCAAUAGUUAUGUCACCUUACUGCACUACUAAUGGAUAUACUUUCAUAUAAUUCUAUGCUGCUACUACGCUGUACCUUUUCCACUCAAUAUGCCCAUGGGCGAACAAUAUCCAUGCUAUAUCCCUAUAGGCAAUUGUUUACAAUCUUAUUUUAAUUGAUAUAUUAUUUUAUUUUAUCUGCAUGCGUCUUUUUAUUAGUUUGUUAUAUAUUUACAAUGUCACUUAUUUGAUUGCUUUCCUAUGUUACUUAUUUGAUUACUAUGUCACUUUUGUCGCACUGUGUGAGAAGCCUGCAAGUACAUGACAAUAACAUUUGAUUUGACUGGAUUUGGAUUUGAUUUGUCAUCACCAGUGGAUCCAGGUGACCAGGACUGGCCCUCGUUAUAGGAUAGAUUUAGCACAUACAUAAUCAUUUACAGUACUAUUCCACAAAUGUUUUUCAAAUGGCACCCAAUGUAUCUUAAAUAAUAAAAAUCAAUAAGGGAGUAGGAAAGCCGGUGGCUUCACCCUGAAAAAAAGUG